UACCUCCAAAAUGAUCUUCUUCAGCGCUGGAGUGUUGCACAUCACAUCGUCACCGGAAUCGGCAAUCCCAACGAAAGUUGGUUUCUCAGGAAGGGAUCUCUUCUUUCUUCCGCAUCCUCCGCAUCCACCUCCACAACAUGGUGGAGGUGGUGG
ensembl:ncRNA T24A6.23 ncRNA